rnacentral:rRNA from 1 species
UACAGAGGUCUCGAGCGUUGUUCGGAUUCAUUGGGCGUAAAGGGUGCGUAGGUGGCACUGUAAGUCAGGUGUGAAAUCCUGAGGCUUAACCUCGGAACUGCAUUCGAUACUGCGGUGCUUGAGGACUGGAGAGGAGACUGGAAUUCAUGGUGUAGCAGUGAAAUGCGUAGAGAUCAUGAGGAAGACCAGUGGCGAAGGCGGGUCUCUGGACAGUUCCUGACACUGAGGCACGAAGGCCAGGGGAGCAAACGGG